rnacentral:rRNA from 1 species
AUUGAACGCUGGCGGCAUGCCUAACACAUGCAAGUCGAACGGCAGCGCGGGGGCAACCCUGGCGGCGAGUGGCGGACGGGUGAGGAAUGCAUAGGAAUCUGCCCGGUUGUGGGGGAUAACGUAGGGAAACUUACGCUAAUACCGCAUACGACCUUCGGGUGAAAGUGGGGGACCUUCGGGCCUCUCGCGAUCGGAUGAGCCUAUGCCCGAUUAGCUAGUUGGCGGGGUAAGAGCCCACCAAGGCGACGAUCGGUAGCUGGUCUGAGAGGAUGAUCAGCCACACUGGGACUGAGACACGGCCCAGACUCCUACGGGAGGCAGCAGUGGGGAAUAUUGGACAAUGGGCGCAAGCCUGAUCCAGCAAUGCCGCGUGUGUGAAGAAGGCCUUCGGGUUGUAAAGCACUUUUGUUCGGGAAGAAAUCCGUGUGGUUAAUACCCGUACGGGAUGACGGUACCGAAAGAAUAAGCACCGGCUAACUUCGUG